GUCUAUGUAGUAUAUUAAUUACACUGGUCUUGUAAAUCAGAGAAGGAGAAAACACUUCUCCCAAAGACUC
rnacentral:tRNA from 1 species